AACCCUCAAACCCCCGGGUUUGGUGUUGGAGAUCGGUUAGCUUUCCUGCUUACCGGCUCCGAAAUCUAGUGGCGGUCUCGCUGCAGCCUCCAUUGCGUAGUAGAUAACACCUCGCAACUGGAACGCGGCGCGGCCAAGCCGUUAAACCCCCAACUUCUGUUGACCU
rnacentral:rRNA from 1 species